rnacentral:rRNA from 1 species
CCCGCUGAACUUAAGCAUAUCAAUAAGCGGAGGAAAAGAAACCAACAAGGAUUCCCCUAGUAACUGCGAGUGAAGAGGGAAGAGCUCAAAUUUAAAAUCUGUCAGUUUUUAGCUGACCGAGUUGUAAAUUAGAGAAGUGCUAUCAGCGCUGGCCUGUGCAAAAGUCUCUUGGAAAAGAGCAUCAUAGAGGGUGACAAUCCCGUCUUUGGUACAGAGCUCCAGGGCUACAUGAUGUGCUCUCAAUGAGUCGAGUUGUUUGGGAAUGCAGCUCUAAAUGGGUGGUAAAUUCCAUCUAAAGCUAAAUAUUGGCGAGAAACCGAUAGCGCACAAGUACCGUGAGGGAAAGAUGAAAAGAACUUUGAAAAGAGAGUUAAACAGUACGUGAAAUUGUUGAAAGGGAAACGCUUGAAGUCAGUCGUGUCCUUCAGAAAUCAACCUGACUUUGGUCUGGCUUAUUUUCUGUUGGAUGGGUCAGCAUCAAUUUUGAUCAUUGGAUAAAGACCUUGGGAAAGUGGCAUCUCUGGAUGUGUUAUAGCCCUGGGAUCACAUACAAUGGUUGGGAUUGAGGAACUCAGUGUGAAUUUGGGGUGUACUCACAACACGCACUUAGGAUGCUGGCAUAAUGGCUUUAAUCGACCCGUCUUGAAACACGG